rnacentral:rRNA from 1 species
AUUGAACGCUGGCGGCAUGCCUUACACAUGCAAGUCGAACGGUAACAGGUCUUCGGAUGCUGACGAGUGGCGAACGGGUGAGUAAUACAUCGGAACGUGCCCGAUCGUGGGGGAUAACGCAGCGAAAGCUGUGCUAAUACCGCAUACGAUCUACGGAUGAAAGCGGGGGAUCGCAAGACCUCGCGCGGACGGAGCGGCCGAUGGCAGAUUAGGUAGUUGGUGGGAUAAAAGCUUACCAAGCCGACGAUCUGUAGCUGGUCUGAGAGGACGACCAGCCACACUGGGACUGAGACACGGCCCAGACUCCUACGGGAGGCAGCAGUGGGGAAUUUUGGACAAUGGGGAAACCCUGAUCCAGCCAUGCCGCGUGCAGGAUGAAGGCC